rnacentral:misc_RNA from 1 species
GAUGAAGAACGUAGCGAAAUGCGAUAAGUAAUGUGAAUUGCAGAAUUCAGUGAAUCAUCGAAUCUUUGAACGCACAUUGCGCCCCCUGGUAUUCCGGGGGGCAUGCCUGUCCGAGCGUCAUUACAACCCUCAAGCUCAGCUUGGUGUUGGGCCCCGCCGCCCCGGCGGGCCCUUAAGUCAGUGGCGGUGCCGUCCGGCUCCGAGCGUAGUAAUUCUUCUCGCUCUGGAGGUCCGGUCGUGUGCUCGCCAGCAACCCCCAAUUUUUUUCAGGUUGACCUCGGAUCAGGUAGGGAUACCCGCUGAACUUAAGCAUAUCAAUAAGCGGAGGA